rnacentral:lncRNA from 1 species
CUGAAUCCUGCUCAACAUGUUAUAACAAAUGCACAACUUGCCAUGCUCCUUCUGUCUGAAAUGAAGUGACAGUAUUACCACCAAUGCUCGUGUAAACAAACGAAAUUAAGUUAACUCAAUAAAUAUCUUUUAUUAAAGAAAAAAAGGAGUAUCGUUAAGCACCAAAACUGUAUGUUGUUACAUUGCAUGUACAAGAAGAGAAAGGUGAUUGCAACACUUGGUGAACAAGUACUUAACUCUGAAGUCAUGAGUGUAAAACAUGAAAUACAAAGCAAGACAAAUUACAAUGCAGAAAAGUUGCACUAAAGGGCAAAAGGCAACUGUCAAAACAAUUGGAGAUUUCAGAGUAUUGCUAUAAAUGCCUGCCUAGUUUUUUCUUUGCACUUUUAAUACUUUAGAAUGUUAACUGAGCAUAUUAAGUAUUGUAAAUUUGCAAGAGUUGGCAUUUACAAUACACUGUGCACACUGUCCAACUGACGUCUCGGUGGUAAAGCCAUCCUCACCAGCCAAGCAGUGUGCCAGUUAGUGUCUGCUUCUACCAUUAUAACAUUGCACAAAGCUGGUAAAUGGUGAGUCAGUUUGCCAUUAAAAGUUUCAUUUAACCAGAAAGGCUAAAAAACAUGUCAGUUUCAUUAGCCCUAAUGGGCUUUAUUAUUCAUGCAAAAUGAUCUGUAGCCUUCGAUUUUUCAUAAACUAUAUAUUACGGUCUCACACUUGGCAAGACAUACAGUACAAUGAGAAAUUCAAUGAGACAGUGGGGAUUCUGUCCAAGUCGAAGAAGUCAGAAGCCACCUAUGGGCUGUAUUGUCUACCCCUCUUGGUUCACAAAUGAAGGGAAAAAGCCAUCUUGUGAUUAUGGAGACUUCUUAAAACCAACAUAAUUAGUACUGGGAAAAGCUGGAAUAACUUGUUACACUCUUUGAUAGUUAACCAUAGAACAUGCAAGUUAAAAAAAAAAACAAAAACCAAAACUUCUCUUGUUAAAAUUGAACUCUAAACCAACACCCAUACCUUUUGCAUACACCUAAAGAUCCCUUUCCAGGGUCUUUCCUUUCCAUCCUUAACUCCCCAAAUUGCGCCACACUUGGUUAUACCUGACUUGAAAAGAAACAAACUUCCCCCUAACCCUCAAAACAAAUAGCUGCUUUGAGAUUCAGUGUGAAAUAACAUUGAUAAAAUAUUUAAUGUCAACCUCAGAGGUAUUUUCUGUACAUGCACCUUACAGCGGCAUAAUUAACAUGUUUGCAGAAGGGGAGAAACAUUUAUAAAUUUGGAAUUCAAUCAACUAAAUUCCUCAAAAUACCAAGCUGUACAUUUACCAUGGGCAGAACAGAAAAUUUUAGAAUGAACACGUCUUCGAAAUAAUGGGCAAACAUUUCACACACACACACACACACACACACACGCAAUCCAGACUCCCUCUCACCUUUAAAAAACCUCUGUUUACAUAUAUGAUAGUUUAGGCAGCAAUAUAAACUCAUUUUGUAGGAAAAACUUUUAAAUUAGACUAUAUUUACAGGAUAAAAAAUACCAUUGCUUCAUUUUACAAAGCUUAAUUGAGCAGAGGCUCUUCCUCAUGUGCUUUAACUACAGAGCGCUCUGCGGGAGAGUUCAGGGAUAGCUACUGAAGGUUCAGGAGCCGGAAGAAACGCAACGUGCUCCAAAAGUAAGGUGCUUCAACUCGCUUACCUCUCUUCCAUCUGAGAUAAAUCUUGUCGGUCAAUCCUCUAGCACUAAGCACAGUUCUUCCAUGCUAAGCAAUAAAUGGGAAUAAAGUCUGUUUAAAAUGCACGUUUAACUUUAUAUUAUCAUUUAAAUUCAGUGCAGGAAUUAGAUAAAACUUGUUAAGUUUUCUGCUUUCACUAUCAAAUGGCUGCAUGUUAACAAUGCAUCUGCCAUGGUUUUUAAAUGUUUUACAGCUGUUCAAAAAGAUUCUUUACAAAUAACCCGGUAAUAUAUAUGAAAUUUCAACUCCCUGAUAAGGCCUUUAAGGACCCAUUAGUACUUUACAGGUUGGUAUCUGAUGUUGAGUGCAUAACAAUUAAAUUAUAAGGCAAAAAACACCCUUGUAUUUAGUGAAAGAAAAAAACUUCACCUAGGCUAAAAGCAGUGACUUAAAUUCAUACACAUACUCAAUGAAUGUAGUUAAAAACUGGAGUCUAAGGGAAUGCAUAAAAUUAAAGUGUAUACUGGUCCCGUUCCAAACAGAGAGGAUGCUGCCCAUUAAUUUUUGCUCCACUGAUAUAGUAAGAGUUUUAAUUCUUUAGUAUCUGCUAUGGCCAAAGUAUGCUUUACAGGUGAACACAUUUUAUGACAUCAAGUGGUCAGGCCAUAUGUUACCAUGUAUUGCUACACCCUGCAGCUUUGUAGAAACAAGGAUUUUCCCCUCAUUAUACAGAGUACAUGACAGGGCUGAGAAUUUUCUACAGUUUCAUGUCAUGAGAAAAUCCCCACAUUCCCACUGUGGAAAUACUACAGCUGAUCGACUGUUACAGCUGUGCCUUGGAGCCCGUUUAGAAAUGCAUUUUAUAGAAAUGUGCCAGUUCCACAAUGAAGAAUUAAGGAAUGAUUGUUUUUAUGCUGCUCACGAACUCCAUAAGCUGAUAAAAUAUCCACCGAGUAAGCAAGGUGGAAAUCCUCGAGCCAGGCCUUUCCUCACUGCACCCUCCGGUGCCAUGGGGAGUGUACGUCACUAACCACACCUUUUCUAAACAGGCCACACUGGUUAUAUAUACAUAAUGUUGGUCGCAUUAGUAGGGGAAAUACUGAAAAUUGACAUUCAAGUGAGCAGUAACAUUAACCUCAAAACAUCCCCAAGUCAUCAUCUACUUGUUUCCCGAUUUUCAAUAUAUUGCUGUUGAGACUAGACUGGUCAAUUCACCUCUGAAUUGACUCAACAUCAGCAAGCAGCUGUUUGUGGAUCUUAACACAGAAAUGAUACAAUAACAGAAAUAGAACUGUCAAAUAUUUUAAACCAUAUAAAUAGUACAGGCAAGACUGGAACUGGAAACAUGAUCAUCUGGAAGUACCAUGAUAAGUAAAUAUAUAAUUUUUGGUUCUGAAACUGCUUUAAAAUUAACAAGAGGAUUCAAUUGGUAAUCUCAUCUUGACGGACAAGUGGACCAUAGUUAUUUGAAAUUUUAAUAUUAUUUGUGAGAACUGCGCAGCUGAUGACCUGCAGCUAAAUAAAGUGUAAUUUUGUGGAAGCAGGAACCUGAAUCUUGAGGAAGAGAACGGGUGUGCUGGAGAACGUUAUUUGCCAGAGAAUGAGCACAGUGGCUGCCAACGAGGCUUUCCUUUCACCUACUCACUCUCAAGUGUGGGAUAACCGCCACGGAGCGCUACAAAGGGACGUGCUGAGAGCCGUGAGUGCGCCCUACAAGGGUCUCUAGGGCUCUCAGGAAGACAGACCACAGGACCCUUGUAUAAGUGAGCCUGUCUUUAACAUGGAAUCCCAGCUGUAAGAUUAAAUGGGUAGUAAUUCCCUCAACACAGGAAAGUCCCCAUGCCUUUGUUGUUAAUUUAACACUAGAUCCUCCAGUAUUUUUCUAAAUGUCAGUAAGUGAAAACAAAAACCAAAAACAACUUAUGUAAUGAACAAGCAUCCAAAGGCAUAAAACUAAUACAUGAUUUUUGCUAAAAAAACUUUUUUCAGACGUAUUAACAAUCAAACCAAUCAUUCUUUGGGUUAAAAGGCAUACUUCAAUGCUUUACUGAAGGUGUACAGGGGAAAAAAAUCUACCCCCCCACCCCCAUCAUGGGGUGAAGAUUUCUAAUCUUCCCAGACAAGAUGUGGGAAUAAUGCUAGAAUACAACCAAGGUAUCGUGAAAAUGGUGUGCAAAAGCUCCUAGUCUCAUCUAUAAACAUAUUACCAACAUUUAAGCAGAAAGAUUUUGUUUUAUAUAACCUAUUGCCAAAAAACUUUCCCCAUAAUUAUUUUAAAGGAAAUAACAUUUUAAAGUGAUAAAGGUGCGACCAUUUCUUUUUUUCUCCAGGAACACCGAUUCAUAUACUUUGGAGGGCUUUUACUCUGGGACUGCUUCUGGGUCCAGGCCAGAGAACCGCCUCAUAAGAAAGAAAGUUCUUUUUGGUGCUUCAGUCCUUAACUCCUUUCUCAUAAAGGCCAGCAUCUGUCUCAAGCAGAAUUACACUCGACAGCACACUGUAAACUGAGUUCCACAUAUCUACCUUCAUUCAAGCCUACAACAGUCCUGCUGAGAAUUCAUGAUGUCUCUCCAUUCAUAUAAAGGCAUCCUUCAGGACUCCAUUACAGCAAAAUCAGCACCUAGAGCUACACACACGUUGAAAAACUUAGUGACAAUAACAAAGGCUCUCUCCCAAAAUCCCACUCACAGCAUGUGGAGAUAGUGAAACGCCAGGCAAGCAGGCUUUUCUGCCUGUCUGCGUUCUGCAUGCAGCCGUGCGCCGCAUAACAAGGCUUCGGUCGACGACAGGCCGCGCACAGGACAGUGGUCCCCUAAGUUUAGCGCCACACAGCCUAGGUGGGAGUAGGCUGCACACUCUAUGAUGUUCACACAAUGAGCAAAUUGCCUAAUGACACAUUUCUCAGAACGCAUACCUGUCGUUAAGUGCCACACAACUGCACACGGCACACUUUUUUCACUGUGGAGCAUAAAAAUAAAACUUAAAAUGGUGCAUGUUAAAAAGACUUAAGAUCUGCAUCCCUAUUACUGAAUCCUGAUUUUGAUUCUCAAUAGGAAAGUCAUGUCAAGUUACAGUAAUCAAGCAAUAGUUCAAACAAAAAGACUAAAGAUAAUUUGAAAUAUUAUCAAAUUACAAAGUAUUGCUUCUCAUAAACAAAGCUGCACAUAAAAUUCAAACUAUUAUAAAUUCACAAUUAUGAAGAGCUAAGCAUGGAAAUUUGUACUUCGAAACCUUACAAAGUGUUAAGAGUGUGUGGUCUUCUAAAAAUACGCCAUGUUAAAUGUAUUGUGUUGUGGUAAACACAUUAAUAGGUGUAUCUCCAUGGUUACGUAUCUUUUCAGAUGUUGUCAAACAUCUUUAUGAAAAUUCCUUUGGAGAUGAGUAAUGUGGAAAUUUUCAGAGCCUUUCCAUCUGAUUUUCUUUCAAUUCCUGUCCUAUAGCUAUCAUGAUAAACUUCUUUUUCAGAGUGUCGCACUACUUUAUAGAAGCUGAUAUGGAAGCAGCUCUGUAUUUAAGCAGAUGACUUAUUCAGUGCACUGAAAGAUGGGUUUCAAAGCAGUCCCGAUACAGCUCACAGUAGAUCUGUCAACCCAGUGUUCUUCCAACUCACAGCAACCCCGAGCUCUACUGGCCACUACAAGGAUGUAAAUGCGUGGACAGGAGGGGAAGGUGCUUCAAAAGCCAGGAAUCUCCGGAAGGCCUUUUCUUCACUGCUGUCAGGAACAUUGCACAUCUAAAACUCACGGUCUAUUGGAAUGACUGGAAAAGCGAUCACUUGCCAAUUGUGCUUCCUUUUUUCACACCACUGAUCCCAUACACUUGGGAUCUAAUGAAAUCCAACUGAGGAACAAAGUGCUUAAAAUUUUGUUUUCCGAAAGAAUAAAAACCAAUCUUCAACUGUAGGUAUCUUUUUCUUUCUGUUGGGUCACCUGUUUACAAACAAAACAAUACAGUGUAUUAGAAAAAGGUGACCUAUUAAAGAUAGUGUGUAGGUAUGCUUCCUCACCCCCUCUGCAAGAUCCAGGUCAACACUGAUGGUUUUUUUCUUCUAAGUGGCCAUUAUACAGAUGGUGUACAGCAGACAUGUUUUUUAAAAAAGGAUAUGCUUCUACUCUUUUUUUUCUUUAAAGUUUUUUUUUUUUAAAGAUUUUAUUUUUUCCCUUUUUCUCCCCAAAGCCCCCCAGUACAUAGUUGUAUAUUCUUCGCUGUGGGUCCUUCUAGUUGUGGCAUGUGGGACGCUGCCUCAGUGUGGUUUGAUGAGUGGUGCCAUGUCCGCGCCCAGGAUUCGAACCAACGAAACACUGGCCGCCUGCAGCAGAGGGCGCGAACUUAACCACUUGGCCACGGGGCCAGCCCCUGCUUCUACUCUUAAAGCAAUAAAAAUGAAAACAAAAUAAUCUGAAUAUGGAUUUUGAACACUGUUUAAAAAG